rnacentral:rRNA from 1 species
GAUGAACGCUGGCGGCGUGCCUAAUACAUGCAAGUCGAGCGAACAGAUGAGGAGCUUGCUCCUCUGACGUUAGCGGCGGACGGGUGAGUAACACGUGGAUAACCUACCUAUAAGACUGGGAUAACUUCGGGAAACCGGAGCUAAUACCGGAUAAUAUAUUGAACCGCAUGGUUCAAUAGUGAAAGACGGUUUUGCUGUCACUUAUAGAUGGAUCCGCGCCGCAUUAGCUAGUUGGUAAGGUAACGGCUUACCAAGGCAACGAUGCGUAGCCGACCUGAGAGGGUGAUCGGCCACACUGGAACUGAGACACGGUCCAGACUCCUACGGGAGGCAGCAGUAGGGAAUCUUCCGCAAUGGGCGAAAGCCUGACGGAGCAACGCCGCGUGAGUGAUGAAGGUCUUCGGAUCGUAAAACUCUGUCAUUAGGGAAGAACAAAUGUGUAAGUAACUAUACACGUCUUGACGGUACCUAAUCAGAAAGCCACGGCUAACUACGUG